rnacentral:misc_RNA from 1 species
AUCUUCAAGAAUUUCACAAAUUAACUUCCAGAUGUGUGCCCGUUUAAGAGAAGCCUCCUCAGGUAGAAACCAAUUCCUAUUAAGAAAGUUUGAGAAUUCUGUUAUCUUGAAAGGGCUGAAGUUAAUAGGAACUUCUUCAAGAAACAGUUCCACAUAAUGGAGCAAGAAGAGGCCACAGUCAAAUGAAUUUUCUUGCUGCGGCAACUCAAGUGGUACAAACUGUAAACGUGAGAACUUUGAAGACACAUCAUCCAGAGUGUCACCAUGCCUCUCUUUCCACUCUUCACAAAGGUAACUUUGAAUAAGAUUCUUGAGGCCCCUGUGACUUCCUCU